UGCAGGUUGGGAGGGAGGGGUCAUGCUGAGGAAAAGUUUGGGAAGCACUGAUUAGUUCAAGUUUUUGUUCAAAUUGCAUUUCACUUUCAUCUUUGGCAGCUGGAAAUUGUGAAUUGGACAAGGGCUAGAUUUUUAAGAGUUCAUGUCGGUCUGCAUCAAUUUAUGUGCGGGAAAGAUACAGAUUGGUUAAGGGUGACUUUUGGUCAUCUUGGGUUCACCACUGUAGAGACAAUGUGCAAGUACACAAAUACAUUGAAAUGCAUCAUGGGUAUACUAAACAUUUGGCAGCCAUGUCCUGUAAAUUGGAAGAAUAAAUUGCUCUUUUGGGCAAUGGGGCCUGGUUAUUAGAUUAAGAAGUGGAGAAUAUUGGUUUAACAGCAAGGAUACUGUUUAGGCUAGCUAGUGUAAGUUUAUGGAGUUGUUGAGUUUUUUGACAAACUUUGGAAAAUAUUUUGCAUGUGCACUGUUGCACGCCUGAUGAACUGGUGUUUAGCUGAUAUUUGAUGAUAAUGCAUGUAGCUAAUUUGUACAAUUACUUAUAGCAGUGACAGUUAAUCCUGACUAUCUCACCAGUGAGCAUUCGACAUUCACUGAAGGAGCCCAUGCAACGUGUACAUCCCUAAAUACAUCGCAGCAAGCAUAUUCCAGUUCAAAGAAAAGGCUCCACAUUUUCAGGUACUUAGCAAAAGCGUAGUAAUCCAGACUGAGCUGAACAAUGACUUGUAUCAAGAAGCAAACAGAAAAUGGAGCAUAUUUGGUCUGGGCUAAAAGUGCCUUUCCAGAGGUGUGACUUGCAUUCUUCAAAAGAUAGUUCUGAAGGUACUUGAAAAGUUCCCAAUAACUGAUGCUUAUAUACCUUGUGUUUUUAGUAGUAAAAC